rnacentral:lncRNA from 1 species
GCGAAAAAAAGGGGUUGAAGACCUGAGAGAAAGAGGUGGAAAAUCGGAGAAAGGGAAAACUUGAAAAAAAAAAAGACAAUUUUUUUAUUUUUAGAAGAGAAUUUGGGAACAAGUUUUGAAGGUCGAAAAUUAGAAGAAAGAGAGUGAAAAAUUAGUGUUAAAAAGAGUGAAAGUAGAGCAAAUUAGAGCACAAGUAAUCAAAAUCCUUGGAGUUGAAUCCGCCAGAGAACCUUGACGUCGGAACUCCAGUUUAGCUACACCACAAAAGGUGUGUAUUUAUCUAUUUAUUUAUCUUGAAGUUUUGGUUUGUUGUCUGUUUUGUUGGAUUGUUAAAAAAAAUGUUCUUCCAAAUCUUGUAGAAAAUGAGGAAACAAAAACUAGUGUAAGGUGUUAAUUGAUUCCCUCUUUUGUCUAUGGAUUUAGAUUAGGUGUUUGGUUGUAUCUAUUCAUUUAUGCAUAUUAUUCUUCUUUUUCCAAGACAAUGACCCACAAUUGGCACAAAGAAUAUUUAGAAAUUAUGAAUUUGUUCUAAAUGAUGUACUUAGGAUAUCAUUUGGUCCAUGGGAUCCCUUAUGUGUAAUUUAUAUUUCCAAAAUCUGUUUUAUAUAUGUUUAUCUGAUAUUUAAAUUUAUUGACCCAAUUAAUUUAAAGUUUUUUUUUGAUAGAUUUUGAAAUUUGUUGUUAGUAGACUCUUUUCUAAAAAAAUAAAUAAUAAAAUUUGAUAUGAAUGAUUUUAAAUUCAAUGAUGAUUUCAAGUAGCCUUUUUUUUUUACAUAUAACUAUGGCAUAAUAUGUGUAUGUAUGUGUAUAAAGUUUUCUAAAUAAAAUAAACUAAUUAACUUCAUGUUUAUUUUCUCAAAAAAUAUAAAAGGAAUAAAAUAAUGAUAAAGAAAGACUAGGCAAUAAUGGCAAAACAUGGAAUAUACCAAUAUUAGGAAGUGGAAAAACGUGUCCUUUAUGAAUGGUAGAAUCUUUUUAGUCCCCACAUAUUCCUAUGUUUCUUUCUCUCUAAACUAAUUGCCACUUUUUAUUAUUAUAUAAUUAAUGUUAUUAUCUGUAGUUGCCUUUUGAUUCUUUACAAGAGCUAUAUAUGUAAAAUAAACUUUCAUAUCCGUGAUAUAAAAAUAUCGUUGCAAAGUCUCAUGAAGUGUCUUUACAUAUUGUGGCUUAUUAUCUAACUAUCAAAUUACUAAUUCGUUAUUUUUUUUUUUUUCAUUUUGCAUGAAACUCGGGAGUUGGAGUUCCGCAAUGAAACUCGUCUUGACCUAACAUCGGGUCAAUCGCUAUUAGGAUCGCAGAGCUUCGAGAUCGCAUUACUUGAAACCACGAAAUGGAGUCUAGUUUCCCCUCUAGUUUCUCCUCCAUUAAAUUAUUCGUUUUAUAUUGUUAUUAUUAUUAUCGUUUUGUGG